rnacentral:tRNA from 1 species
GUUGAAUUAGCUCAAUUGGUAGAGCACAAGCUUUCUAAGCUUGAGGUCGGGGGUUCAAAUCCCUCAUUCAACU